rnacentral:rRNA from 1 species
UGAAGAAUCUGCCCUCCACUUUGGGAUAACACAGGGAAACCUGUGCUAAUACCGAAUAUUGAAGCAUAAGUGGCAUCACUGAGUUUUGAAAGAAUUUCGGUGGAGGAUGACUUCGCGGCCUAUCAGCUAGUUGGUGAGGUAAUGGCUCACCAAGGCAACGACGGGUAGCCGGCCUGAGAGGGCGACCGGCCACACUGGGACUGAGACACGGCCCAGACUCCUACGGGAGGCAGCAGUGGGGAAUAUUGGGCAAUGGAGGAAACUCUGACCCAGCGACGCCGCGUGCGGGAUGAAGGCCUUCGGGUUGUAAACCGCUUUCAGUAGGGAAGAAGCGAAAGUGACGGUACCUACAAAAGAAGCACCGGCUAACUAUGUGCCAGCAGCCGCGGUAAUACAUAGGGUGCAAGCGUUGUCCGGAAUUAUUGGGCGUAAAGAGCUCGUAGGUCGUUUGUUACGUCGGAUGUGAAAACCUGAGGCUCAACCUCAGGCCUGCAUUCGAUACGGGCAAACUAGAGUUUGGUAGGGGAGACUGGAAUUCCUGGUGUAGCGGUGGAAUGCGCAGAUAUCAGGAGGAACACCAAUGGCGAAGGCAGGUCUCUGGGCCAAUACUGACACUGAGGAGCGAAAGUCUGGGGAGCGAACAGGAUUAGAUACCCUGGUAGUCCAGACCGUAAACGGUGGGCACUAGUUGUGGGGACCUUCCACGGUUUCUGCGACGCAGCUAACGCAUUAAGUGCCCCGCCUGGGGAGUACGAUCGCAAGAUUAAAACUCAAAGGAAUUGACGGGGCCCCGCACAAGC